UGAUACGGUGCGGUUGCCAGUCGCGCUCCUCGUGAGCCAGGGAACCCGGUGCGAACCCGGGACUGACGCGCAGCGGUAAGGGUGACGGGCGGGGCAACACGCCACUGGACUUCGUGUCCGGGAAGGUGCCUCGUCCGGAUGAUCCCGAGUCCGAAGACCUGCUGGCCGUGGGGUUCCACC
rnacentral:ncRNA from 1 species